GUAAGCUAGCAGGAGCUAACGUGUAAACAACUGGGUGAUGGGAAGAGGGGUGGGCCUACUGUGUACUAGCAUUAGCGACUUUACAGCCCUAAUAUUUUCUUCUUAUUGCUGUUGCUUAAAUCAUUAGAGGAUUGAGAUGUCAAGUACCCAGAAAACGGCCCUGAAACUGCCGAUACGCCACAAAAGCCUCUGGAUGAAAGCCGCCACCGAAAGAGCUUCAUGUCACGAUCAAAUAAAGGAAAAACUGCAGUGGGGUCGCACGUGUUUGGUUAAUGCCAAGCAGAUGCGGGCGUACUGUAUGAUUACUGCAUCUCAGCGUGGAUCCAUACCCACACAGACAGGAAAGGGAUGACAGCUGUUAGCCAUCAGCACCGGCGCUCAGGAGGCCCUGAACUGGAGGCCACGGCAGCGUCUGCACAAAUAAACACCAACGUGUGCCCGUGUUCGCGAAUGUACACGCCGGAUGCACGGGGAAGCGCGUGGAGGCGGGAAGGCCCACCGUACGCCCCUGAAGACUCAGAGUUUAUGCCGGAGAACAUAAACAUCCUGCCCCUCCUCGUGGUUGUUUUGAGGGUGACCCGAAAAAGCCAACAGUUUCCUGACACCUCCUCUGCUGGCGUUCAGGGAAGACUCGAGUGUUUCCCUUUCUGCUGGGUCUCUCCCUGAGCCGAGGGGCGGAGCCACCGUGUGUGAAUGAUGUGGACUUCGCAGCCUCGACUCAGUCCACACCCUCGACCUAAAGAGGAGUCAGGAGGAGGCGGAGCUAACUCAGCAAGCGCUCUGAGCUCCCUCGGAGCCGGGACUUGACUUGUGAGUCCUCCAGGAGCAACAUGUGUGCACGCCGUGACCUGUGCCGACUUUGGGAAGAACUUCCUGACUUUUGGGAUCUCUGCAGUCUGAGUGAAGUCGGGCGUCAGGGUUUUUGAUCAAAUCACAUUCAGUCAGAGAUCCGCCCGCUGCUUCCUCGUCUCCACGGUUUGAAACGUGACAAACCAGCUCGUGGUUCAGGUGAGGAGUGGAGCAUCAUGGCAGACAGAGGAGAGAUUGUGACUGGGGAGGGAGAAGCUGCGAGGAGGACGAGGAGGACGAGGAGGACGAGGCCACGCAGGAAGGAAGUACAGGAAAUGUCCCAUCAGGAAAAUAAGGAGCAAAUGUAAUUGUGAACUCUGAGCUCGUUUACUGUCUGGGUGGUCAUGAAAGCAGAGCUCCGAUUGUGUAUGUUGUGUACUUGAAUGUUUGCGGCUAACUGUGUGUUGGUGUUCAACAGGCUUUAGAUCACGUCAGAGUUUUAGAAGAUACAGAAAUCAAGAUUAUUCCUCAGGAAUGAAAUCAGAAGCACAAAUAUUAAAUGUUUAUAGUUUCACAUGAGCGCAAAAAGGUUUACUGCAGAUAACGAGCAAGCCAGCACUCAUCUAGGGAGGAAAUGAAAAAUAUUUUCUUGAUUUUUUUCUUUCAGGGUUAAAAUAUUUAUUGAAGAUUUUAGAUUUUUUUAAUAAUUAUUUUUUAUUGUCUUUGCAACAUAUUUAAAUAUCAGCACAGACUUUCUUAGCAAUGUCAACCUAUACUGUAUUCUUUCUAACAGGGUUUAAAAUAUAACAAUAAUAGUAAUAAUAAUACUAAUAAUAAAUAAACAAAUAAAUUUGGAAAAAAAUUAAGAAAAAUCUAUAAAUUGUUAUUCAAAGCUUAAAGGUCUUAGUGAAGAGGCUGUCUUGAGACUGGUAAAAUGGAGAAACGGUGAAACAGAAAAAUUGUGUUUUUGACAUGUUUUAGUUACAUUUUUCUUAUUUUGGAGGACAUUUAUGAAGAAAAUUAACUUUAAAUAGCAAUUCUGAUUAUUUAUUUAUUCAAAAAAAAUUUUUCAAAUGCUUGAAAAAAAAGCUUAUUUGUGACGGAGAAGAUAUGCUGGGCGGGGCUAAAAGCUCCCUGCUCCGCCCCAUUCGGGUGGAUCCACUUGUAGACAAAUAGAUCCAUGAACGUCUUUGCUUUCCUGCACUGCUAAUGUUAGGUUGGGGAAUAAGGGGCUGUAAGCUAGCAGCAGAGAAAGCAAACAAAGGGAUGAUGGGAAGAUUUAUUUUACAGGUUUUUUAAAUUUUUGAUAAAAAUAACAAUUUAGAGACAACUGGAAACAAUUUGAAUCAAACGAUGAAUAGAGUGGAACUUUAAAUUUAUCCUUUUAACUAUGUUUUUUAAAUUCCUCCAUUGGAAUCUGGCUCUAAACCAUUCGGCUGGACAGCUCUGAUAUUGGUCGCCA